rnacentral:lncRNA from 1 species
AAGCUUCUCUGAUGUUGCAAUGAUUGUAUUGGCCCUUGAAAGAUGGUUAGGAUGUGGGUGUACAGAGAAUGGGCUGGAGGUAGGAAUUCCACUGCAUCUCACAGUUGGUACAACAUUCAGUAACCAUUUGUCUAGGGCUAGUGUUGACAAAUUUUUUCUGCAAAGGUCUAGAUAGUUAAUAUUUUACGUUUCCUAAAGCAUAUGGUCUGGGUGUCAGCUACUCAGCUCUGCCACUGCAGGGUGGAAACAACCAUAGACAAUAUGCAAAUGAAUAGUCAUAGCUGUGUCACAAUAAAAUUUUCAUUAUAAGAACAAGCAGUGGGACAGAGCAUUCAGUGCAUGUUGUAGUUUGCCAACCCCUUGUUGAGGGUGUUACAUGAUUGAAAAUGUAAUGAAAAGUAUAGUACAGCCUCAUCAAUGUUCAAAAUUAAUGAAAAGUAGAAAUAAUUUACUGAAAUGCUGACAAUAGUUGUCUUUGAUUACUGAGACUACAAAUAAUAUGUUGCUCUUCUGUCCACAUUUUGACUUUUUCAGGUAUUUUGUGAGGAUGAUGAAUUAAUUUAUAGUGAGGACAAACAAACAAACUUUAUUUACAGAAUUAAAGUAUAGAUAUUAGGCAAUACAUAACUUAGACCUUGGCAUGUGGAUGUUCAGGGCAUACUUGAGCUUGGCUGAUCAGUACCAUUUCUGCAAGUGUUACCCCUAGCGCAAAGGAAACUAUUGUCCUUGGAAUGCCAGUUUAGAUACCACAGACAAGCUUGCAUCAAAACCAGGCUGUUUCUUCUGUUGCCCCCUGUCAUCAGCUCCACAGAGCCAUUAUGUUGUUCAAGAAACAUUAUAGCAAAAGGCUGCCUAGGCAGAAACUAAAUUGAUUUUCUGAUUCCACCCUUAACCCUCUUUUUUUGUGGUCUCUAAAGGGAGCCCAGGGUUUUUAAAGCACUCUAUGUGACAUGCUGCCAAGUCAGAUAGGAGAUGGAAUAAUUGUGGACUUAGCCUUCACCUCAGAUCACAGCAAUGUCAAUGAAAUAUGGUCAAGUGACAACAGUUGUCUGAUUAUAAGUGAGUUUAGGAGGCAGACAUUAGGCUUUAAAUUCUAAGGUGGGAGUGCUAUAGUGAUAAGAGCUGUAACUUCUUAAAUACCUUCACUGUGCUUCGAUUUGCAUAUUCCCUUGACUUUCAAAACCAUGCUUCAAAAUAGGCAUGGCUAGUCUCAUUUUAUAGGUAGGGACAUUGAAGUUCAGAGACUUACAGUGGUUUUCUAAGGUUAAAACUUCACAUGGUAAAGUCAAGAUUUGAACCCAGAUCUGCCUGAUUUUAAAGGCUGCUCUUUCCACUGUGCUGCUCUAUUUCCUAUUAGUCCUACUUCUCCCGUUGCAAGACAUUGUGUGCUCACCAAUGAAUCUCAAAGUGGUCUUGACAUGCUAGAGCAGUCUUCCCUAUAGUCUCCCUGAAUAGGAAAGAGGGAAUAUGACAAGCUAAAUGACUAUAGAUAGCACAUGACAAAUCACAUAGGUUUGAGGGGUUAAGAUCCAAAGACAUUUGAUUGAGCUGAAUUAAAUUUAGGCUCUGGGCAAGAGAAACAAAUUCUUAAGGAGAAAAUGAUAGGAUACCUCUCAUUUUUUUUUCGACCAAUAGUACUGCCAGUUUUCAGAGACACUAGUGUUGCGGCCCCAUAAAGAAUGAGAAUGACUAAAGAAAAUUUUAUGAGUUGAAAAAACCUUGGGGUGGGCUUUGUAAUAGGACUGUCUUAGUUUAAGUUCAAGUUUUCCAGUUACUAUGUGUAUGAGUAUAUCAGGGUUCUCCAGAGAAACAAUACAUACAUUUGAGCAAUAAGGAGAGAAAGAUUUGAAGGAAUUAUGGGGCCUGGCAAGUCUGAAUUCUGUAGGGCAGCCUAGCACGCUGGAGACCCAGGGAAGAGUUGACAUUGCAGCUCAAGUCCGAAGGCAAUGUGCAGGCAGAAUUCCUUCUUCCUUCGAGGAUCUCAUUCUAUUUUCUCUUAAGAUCUUCAACUGAUUUGAUGGGCCCUCCCUCUAUUAUGAUGAAUAAUCUGCUUUAGUCAAAAUCGUUUAAUUUAAAUGUUAAUUUCAUCUAAAAAAUUACCUUCACAGCAACAUCUAGACUGAUGUUUGAACAAACAUCUGGGCACCAUAGCCUAGCCAAAUUGACACAUAAAACCAAUAAUUGGGAGUUCCCUUCGUGGUGCAGUGGUUAACGAGUCCGACUAGGAACCAUGAGGUUGUGGGUUUGGUCCCUGGCCUUGCUCAGUGGGUUAAGGAUCCAGCAUUGCCGUGAGCUGUGGUGUAGGUCACAGACGCGGCUCGAAUCCCACGUUGCUGUGGCUCUGGCAUAGGCCAGAGGCUCUAGCUCCAAUUGGACCCCUAGCCUGGGAACCUCCAUAUGCCACUAGAAAAGGCAAAAAGACAGAAGAAAAAACCCCACAGAAAAGCCAAAAACUAAUGAUCACACUAUGUAAAUGUCCACAAGAAUUUAAGCAUUCAAAUCUUCUUUCCUCACUUGUUGAAUGGGAAUAGUAGUAUCUUCAAUAUAAGGAUUGCUGUGAGGCUUGAAUGAGCUAAUACAUGCCCAUUUCAGAGUGCUGGCAUCUUGUAAGUGCUCAGUAGAUUUUAGCUAAUGCUAUUAUUAUUGUUGUUAUAUAAUUAUUUUAUUUUUUCUCUCCCUUUUAAAAAAUUUGAAAGCAACAAAGUUUUUCACUAACAUCACAGUGAAUUAAAUUUCAGUUUCUUUUUUACUUUUUUUUAAAUUAAAGUGUAGUUGAUUUACAGUGUUGUGUCAAUUUCUGCUAUACAUCAAAAUGACCUAGUCAUACAUGUAUAUACAUUCCCUUUCUUAUAUUAUCCUCCAUCAUGGUCUAUCCCAAGAGACUGGAUGUAGUUCCCUCUGCUGUAUAGCAAGACCUCAUUGCUUAUCCAUUCUAAAUAUAAUAGUUUACAUCUAGAAAAGUCAUAAGAAUUUUUGCUUGAUCUAUAAGUACUCUGCUCCUAUAGUGUCUUCACAACUCUGGGUUCUCUUUCUACCUGAAGCCUUCUAUUUCAAUUUCUGAGAUGGCCAUAAUUUAUUCUAUUACCUAUUAAUGUGUACCCAGGAUCUCCUGCUCUGAAGCAAAGAUUUCUUUUCUUUUUUUAUUGACGUAUACUUGACUUACAAUAUUAUAUUAGUUUCAGGUGUACAGUGUAUCGACUUGUUAUUUUUAUACAUUAUGAAAUGAUUACCACAAUGUCUAGUUAUCAUCUGUCACCCUACAAUGGUUUUACAAAAAAAAAAAAAAAAAAAAAAACAUUGAGUGUAUUCCCUAUCUCAUACAUUACACUCCCAUGGUGAUUUUUUUAUUUUAUUUUAUUUUUGUCGUUUUAGGGCCACAUCCAUGGCAUGUGGAGGUUCAGGCUAGGGGUCAAAUUGGAGCUGUAGCUACUGGCCUACACCACAGCCACAGCAACUCGGGAUCUGAGCCAGGUCAGCAGCCUACACCACAGCUCAUGGGCAACACUGGAUCCUUAACCUCCUGAGUAAGGCCAGGGAUUGAACCUGUAUUCUCGUGGAUGCUAGUCAGAUUCCUUUCUGCUGAGCCACUCUGAGGAACUCUGAUUUAUUUAUUUAUUUUAUAACUGAGCUUUGUACCUCUUAAUCCCCUUUCCCUAUUUCUCGAAUUACCCCUCCCCUUGCCCUCUGGCAACCACCAGUUCUCUGUAUCUGUGAAUGUGUUUCUGUUUUCUGUUUGUUCAUUUGUUUUGUUUUUCAAAUUCCUCAUAUAAGUGCAAUACAGUAUUUGCUUUUCUCUGUCAACUUAUUUCACUUAUAAUAAUACUCUCUAGGUCAAUCCAUGUCGUUGGAAAUGGCAAGAUAUGAUUCUUUUUAUGGCCUAAGUAAUAUUCUAUUUUAUCUAUAAAUAUAACACAUCUUCUUUAUCCAUUCAUUUAUUGGUGGACACUUAGGUUGCUUCCAUAUCUUGGUUAUUGUAGAUAAUGCUACAGUGAAAAUAGGGGUGCAUAUAUCUUUUCAAAUUAGUACAUUUUUUUUUCUUUAGAUAAAUACCCCGAAGUGGAAUUGCUAGAUCGUAUGAUAGUUCUAUUCUUAAUUUUUUGAGGAACUUCAUGCUGUUUUCCAUAGUGGCUGCACCAAUUUACAUUCUCACCAACAAUGCACUUUUCUCCACAUGCUUGCCAGUACUUGCUAUUUCUUAUUUUUUGAUUAUAGCCAUUAUGACUGGUGUAAGGUGAUACCUCAUUGUGAUUUUAAUUUGCAUUUCCCUGAUGAUUAGUGCUGUUGAGCAUCUUUUCAUGUGCCCAUUAACCAUCUGUUUGUUUUCUUCUGAAAAAUGUCUAUUCAGGUCUUCUGCCCAUUUUUUACAGGAUUAUUUUUCUGCUAUUGAAUCCUAUGUGUUCUUUAGAUUUUAACUAAUACUUUUGCAGUGAUAUUACAAACUUCUCUUAAAUUUCUCUAGCUAAUAUCUGAAGAAACAUGGUGAAUUUUAUGCAUUGCUCAUUUGCCUUAAAAAUGUCCUCUUCCUGUUGUGAGGGGAUAUUGAAAAUUACUAUUUAUUAAAUCUGAAAUAAACAGAGCCCGGAGAGGUCAAGGGUGGAGUGGCUGGCUCUAGGUCAAACCACAAGGCAAACAGAAAUAGUUCAGUUUUCAGCCUUCACAGGGCUUCCCAUUAGACUGUCAUCAUUUAUCAUGUUUCAUUUUCUUACAGAUGGAGCUGUUUCCUCAGGGUAUUUUCCAAGAAAUUCACACCUAAAUCCUGGUAGUGGAAUGAGGCUCCUUUCGCUGUGUUCUGAAAUGUCAAAUCAGUUGAAAUGUUCAGAGGUCAAACAUUCUCAAAAAGUAGAUAGUUACUUUGGUCUCUGAUGCUUUAAUUAAGAGGGUAUGUUGGGGAAUUCCCUUCGUGGCUCAGCGGUUAAUGAACCCGACUAGGAUCCAUGAGGAUGUGGGUUCAGUCCCUGGCCUUGCUCAGUGGGUUAAGGAUCCAGCAUUGCCGUGAGCUGUGGUGUAGGUCACAGACGCAGAUCAGAUCCCCCGUUGCUGUGGCUGUGGUGCAGGCCGGCAGCUGUGGCUCUGAUUCGACCUCCACCUUGGGAAUUUCCAUAUGCCUGGG